rnacentral:rRNA from 1 species
CCGGCGGACGUUUUAGCUACAGUCGAACGGCAGUGGGGGGUAACUCCCAUGAGAGUGGCGAACGGGUGAGUAACACGUAGGUGAUCUGCCUUGAGGAUGGGGAUAGCUUGUGGAAACACAGGGUAAUACCGAAUAAGCUGGCGGGGCUUUGGCUCUGUUAGUAAAGGUGCUACGGCACCGCCUUAAGAGGAGCCUGCGGCUGAUUAGCUAGUUGGUGGGGUAAAGGCCUACCAAGGCGACGAUCAGUAGCCGGCCUGAGAGGGUGUACGGCCACACUGGAACUGAGACACGGUCCAGACUCCUACGGGAGGCAGCAGCUAAGAAUCUUCCGCAAUGGGCGAAAGCCUGACGGAGCGAUGCCGCGUGAUCGAUGAAGGUCGAGAGAUUGUAAAGAUCUUUUACAGCUGAGGAAUAAGUCUCGGAGGGAAUGCCGGGAUGAUGACGUUAAGCUGUGAAUAAGCCCCGGCUAAUUACGUGCCAGCAGCCGCGGUAAUACGUAAGGGGCGAGCGUUGUUCGGAAUUAUUGGGCGUAAAGGGCACGCAGGCGGUUAUACAAGUCCGAUGUUAAAGACCUGGGCUUAACUCAGGGGAUGCGUUGGAAACUGUAUGACUAGAAUCUUGGAGGGGGAGUCGGAAUUCCUAGUGUAGGGGUGAAAUCUGUUGAUAUUAGGAAGAACACCGGUGGCGAAGGCGGACUCCUGGCCGAAGAUUGACGCUGAGGUGCGAAAGCAUAGGGAGCAAACAGGAUUAGAUACCCUGGUAGUCUAUGCUGUAAACGAUGUGCACUUGGUGUUGGGGCCGAUUAGGUUCAGUGCCGAAG